GAGGCUUGCCAUUGCUGUUCACUGCAUUCAAACACGGAAUUGUAUGAGAGAGGCUUGCUCACUUGUGUAGAUUUGGAAAACGGUUUAACAUAUAACUUCGUAAACCUAAAUAUGUCAAACGUGGAUACAUUCAAGUUUACUACUAAGGCAUGUUUAAGAGUUUUUAAACAAGCACUCGUUACAUUGUUGGUAGCAUCAUGUGGCGUCAAAACAGAGGGACAAACGCCAUUUAAGACGUUGGAAUUGCGACAUUGCCCUACAGACCUUAUUAGUGACGCAAUGUAUGUCGGAACGGACGUUACCAUUACCAAAUGUGUGGAAAUGUGCGCACUGCGACCCUGGUGUGUAGCAUUGAUAUACAGACGUCAGUAUCCUCUUUGUGAACUCUUCUCAAAAUCUGGUUUGAUAGUCCAUAACACAACAGAAACCGCAGGAUAUUGUCAGUAUGUGGAUGAAGACAACUUUUCCGCAAAGUUCGUCCAACUAAGACUCGAGUGCUCAACAUUGGCAAAUACGACAUGUCCCGAGCAGUAUGUCGCAUGCGACAUGGACAAUAAACAAUGUAUCAAACCCGAAUGCCCGCGCCUGAACGUCACCAAUGGGGUCUUAUUAGGCAACAUGAACAACAAUGGGGCACGUAAACAGGUCACCUGCAACCCUGAUUACAUCGUAGAAUCUGGAGCUAGUAUUACGACAUGCAUUGACGGAAACUGGAAUCCGUAUCC